rnacentral:rRNA from 1 species
GACGAACGCUGGCGGCGUGCUUAACACAUGCAAGUCGAACGGAAAGGCCCUGCUUUUGUGGGGUGCUCGAGUGGCGAACGGGUGAGUAACAAGUGAGUAACCUGCCCUUGACUUUGGGAUAACUUCAGGAAACUGGGGCUAAUACCGGAUAGGAGCUCCUGCUGCAUGGUGGGGGUUGGAAAGUUUCGGCGGUUGGGGAUGGACUCGCGGCUUAUCAGCUUGUUGGUGGGGUAGUGGCUUACCAAGGCUUUGACGGGUAGCCGGCCUGAGAGGGUGACCGGCCACAUUGGGACUGAGAUACGGCCCAGACUCCUACGGGAGGCAGCAGUGGGGAAUAUUGCACAAUGGGGGGAAGCCUGAUGCAGCAACGCCGCGUGCGGGAUGACGGCCUUCGGGUUGUAAACCGCUUUCGCCUGUGACGAAGCGUGAGUGACGGUAAUGGGUAAAGAAGCACCGGCUAACUACGUG